CUCCACGCAACCUCUUCCUCUUCUCCGCCUCUUCCUUCACGGGCCAAUGCGGCUGCAGGGGCGAGAGGAUGGGGGCCAGCCGGUUUCUUUGCCGGAUUUGGACUUCUCCGCCUCUUCCUUCACGGGCCCUUGCGGCUGCAAGGCGAGAGGAUGGGGGCCAGCCGAUUUCUUCGCCAGAUCUGGAGCAGGGACAAGAGGAGAAGGAAGUUGGCCAUGGAUAAAUGAGGAGAGCGGGGAAGGAAGCCAGAGUGGAUCAGUGACGGUUGGAUCCCCGGAAAAAAAAUAACAGUAGGAUACAAGACGGAGAUGAGCGGCGGCGAUGGGCGAGGCGGCGGGAGGCGACGGCGACGAGUAAAUCAGUCGCCUACAGAUAAAAGAUCAUUUCUGUCGCCAGAGACCUCAUUGGCACAUCUCAAGAGGAUGCUAUUAUCUGCAUCAGUGACGACGAUGGUGAGCUGGCAGCCCACACCAAGCAUCCUACACGCUCUGCACAUGUUAUAUGCUAAUAAAUGGUACACCUACUUCACUAUACAGCAUUCUCCUAUCCAUAGUGGCCCAAGAUUGUAGAAUUAUUUAGCUUCAUAUUUUGCGUCUCAUGAAAGAACACAAUUAGGUUAUGAAAUCAUUUUUUUCCUACUUCUAAAAAGAUUUUGUUUUAUUGGCUGCUAAUAAUUAUGUUUCUAAAUAGAACCCCGUUGUUGUUUAUUAUAUAUGUAGGUUGAUUUAAACCAGAUAAUGGUCAUUUUUCCCUCUCUCUAUAUCCAGGGAAAAUUGUAUAUUCUGUGAAGAACUAUCGAUGCAUAUUUGGCAGCUUUUGAAUCCUAUGAACAACUUGAUGGUUCAAUAUGUUUCACUUUUGUAUAAUUUCUGCAGAAGCCUAUUUAUCGUUCUGGCACUUUUUGUAUAUUAUACUUAUCCAUGUCAGUGGGUUUUGAACAAUUAGUUGAUUUUGCACAGGACUUUGUAUGUGCACAUGGGCAUUUCGUAUGCAAGGUGCACAACUUUGUAUUUGUGUGGUAAUAAAGCAAGACGGUCUGCUCGAUGGCUGUGCGAGUGGUGUUCCUUUGUUUGGAGAAUUUAUCUGUGGUGUGAUCUGUUUUCAUUUCAACAAUAUCUAAUAAAAGAAAGUAUUGUGCUACCUUUGGGCAGUACAAUAUCUAAUAAAGUUGUGAUUUUGAUCGUGUAUCACUACAGGUUGUUGUUGAGAAGUCUAAAACAUAUAAAGGGAAACCUAAGAAAAAACUUUGAACCCCAAAGUUAACAAAGCUGAUAAUCUAUUUCUCUCAUUAUAACUAACUUGGCCAUAGAGAAAUAUUUAGGUUCCUAUGUUCUGCUUGCCAUCUGAUCCAUGGCUAGCUAGAUGUUCUGCCACUGUCACUCUAGAGCAUGUCUCUUCCACGACAAGUUCAGUCUAUUCUAGAUCUGGGUCCUCUCUGGUUCCUUCGACAAUGACCUCAACACCAUCGAAGCCAGGCCGCAGGUACUAAGAAACAACACAUGCUCUCUUGUUUGCUACUUCCUCUAAAGCGAUGCGUUUCUGAAACGGUGAAACCUCUUGCAUUUCUGAAACGGUGAGACCUCUUGCAUUACCCGAAUAGAUGAUCACAUCACUUGUAGCAUGAGUAUAGGCUAAUUUUUUUUAGUAUCCAUCUUAUAUGAGUACAUUUUGUUUAUCACACAACACAUGACACAUGUAAAUCUAGAAGUUUAGGAACUAAGAGCUUUUUUAUUUUGAGGGAAUUGUGAACUAUGAGCUCCUAGGUUAGCUAUGAAUAGGAUUUUUAGUUGGUCAUGUACAUUGGAUAGGCUCAUUGGAGGCACCUAAACCAGUCACUUGUAUGUAUUGACCCAUGCAAUUUUUGCUUAGAUGGGAUCUGCUUUGUUGUCACAGAAGACACACAAUGAAAUAUACAUUUUACUCAUAUCAGAUGCUAUUUGUGGUAGUUCAAGCAAGCUAUUAGUUUGUAAUUCACUGAAAAUGAUUUCAUCUUUUACAAAAGGACAUAAAAGUACUACUAGCAUUUAUGUUCUGGUUCAUAUCCACAUAUUAACUCAGCAAAUGCUUAGAGUAUAAAAGUAGGCAGGUUUGUCUUGCUUUCCGUAAAUGAAAGCUAGCCUUAUAGUGAACCAUUUCACCUGUGCAGGAUGCAUACAUGAGUUCUACACAAGAUGCACCCUUUACCUUGAUAAAUCUGUUUUGUUGUCUGACAACAACAAAAUGUUGUUUGCUUUUGUAGGUUGAACCUGGGAUGAAUGAUUGUUUCUUAUAGGCUGGUGUUUUCAAAAGUGCAAAGGCACCACAAACUAUGUCAACAAAAAGGUGCAGAGAUCCUAGAGACACAGGAAAUAAGAGUACACCUGAUUCAGAUGGGGAGAAUGGCUCGGUUUCCCCGAUAGCUCUAUUGAGAGCAGAAAAUAAACCCAAAGACAAGGAUGAGAUUGGUUUGCCACAUAGCGGGUCGACAAGCUCCAAAAGAAACAGAUUGGUUUGCUAAAGAAACUUGUAGAAAAAGAGGAGGCUUUGAGGUCUGCCAAGAGUGUUGUCGUAUAUUCAACAAUUUUUGGGUUGAGACGCCAAGUUGUUGAGAAAGAAGCUUUGAUCAAAUAUGCCAAUUCGCACCACCACCACCACAACAAGCAUCACCACGAUGAGAUCCAACGGCUGCUACCGAAGGAACUCGAGCCAAAGGCUUCAGAAGGUGGGUGAAACCUGAAGGAUCACGGGAUCUACACCUCUUGGUGCAAAUAACCUUUCACUUUUGAUAUUUACUUUCUAUUGAAACUGCAAAAUGUUGUUCUAGGGCUGGAUAUCUAAAUGUUGAUAUCUGCAUGCUUGUAAAUUUAUACCAUGAAUCAUUUUUAUGCUACUACUUUUCUUCCAGAAUUUGUAUCUCUUUCGUCCAAAUUGUUGUAAUGUGCAUUGCAUUUCUACCGCUUUAUCUUAUUGUUACGUUUGCUUC